rnacentral:rRNA from 1 species
CCUACGGGAGGCAGCAGUGGGGAAUAUUGGGCAAUGGGCGCAAGCCUGACCCAGCAACGCCGCGUGAAGGAAGAAGGCUUUCGGGUUGUAAACUUCUUUUAUUAGGGACGAAACAAAUGACGGUACCUCAUGAAUAAGCCACGGCUAACUACGUGCCAGCAGCCGCGGUAAUACGUAGGUGGCAAGCGUUAUCUGGAUUUACUGGGUGUAAAGGGCGUGUAGGCGGGACUGCAAGUCAGAUGUGAAAAUUAUGGGCUCAACCCAUAACCUGCAUUUGAAACUGUAGGUCUUGAGUGAUGGAGAGGCAGGCGGAAUUCCUGGUGUAGCGGUGAAAUGCGUAGAUAUUAGGAGGAACACCAGUGGCGAAGGCGGCUUACUGGACUGUAACUGACGUUGAGGCUCGAAAGCGUGGGGAGCAAACAGGAUUAGAUACCCCAGUAGUC